UAAAGAAAAAAAAAAAAAUCUCAAUCUUCUUCGCUUUCUCUCUCAUCUCCCCUGUUCUUCUUCCUUGAAUUCUACUCAAACGCUACAAAAUCUGGGUGUUCUUUGGGUGAAUUCGGGAUAAAAAGGGGAUAUUUGAAGCGAUUUCGAUCUCACCCCCAAUUCAUCAAUGGCAGAUUCACCUCAAAUUACUCAGAAACACAAGGCUCCAUGAGGGUUCGAUCUCACCCCCAAUUCAUCAACAGCCAUUGAUCUUCUUCCAGUGAUUUGGUGGUGCAAGUGGUGGGAAGUCCGGCGAAUCCACCAUUGUCGCCGACGAAGGUUGAAGGCUGGCCAAUUCCGCAAACUCCAAGAAGAGGAAGGAACCUGAGAAGUUGCAGAAGGUUGAAGAAGUGGGUCCUGUUUGGUGGGUUGAAACCUCCAAGAACAUCUCCCUUCAUUUUCAAUUCGAUCCAGAUGUUUCUGAUAGUUUUGCUUAUGAGGGUGCAGUACUGAACGAACUAAAGCAGUGGAAGGAGCUCUAUGGAGAAGGAGGGUCAAGAAAUGAGCAACUUACUUACUUCUUAUAGGAAGGUGGUAUGGAGAAGGCGGGUCAAGAAAGAAGGAUCAGUUGUAAGAGAACUCUGAGUCCUCUUUGGCAAUAGAUACAUAUCAUAAGGCACUGAAGGAAGCUUAUGUAAUUUGUAUUUCUUGUUAAACACUUUUGGUGGGCGGGUGGGAAAAAGCGAGUUUUAGAUAUAGAUGCAACGAGGGCUUACAUAUAUCUACUUAUACCGUAUUCUGUAUUAAGAGUUUGCUCAUGUUGUAUAAGAAAAAUAAA